rnacentral:rRNA from 1 species
UACGUAGGGUGCGAGCGUUAAUCGGAAUUACUGGGCGUAAAGCGUGCGCAGGCGGCUUUGCAAGACAGAUGUGAAAUCCCCGGGCUCAACCUGGGAAUUGCGAUGGAGACUGCAAGGCUUGAAUCUGGCAGAGGGGGGUAGAAUUCCACGUGUAGCAGUGAAAUGCGUAGAUAUGCGGAGGAACACCAAUGGCGAAGGCAAUCCCCUGGGCCUGUACUGACGCUCAUGCACGAAAGCGUGGGGAGCAAACAGG